rnacentral:rRNA from 1 species
GACGUAGGGUGCAAGCGUUGUCCGGAAUUAUUGGGCGUAAAGCGCGUGUAGGCGGCUUUGCAAGUCGGGUGUGAAAUCCCUCAGCUCAACUGAGGAAGUGCGCCCGAAACUGCAGAGCUUGAGUACCGGAGAGGAUGGCGGAAUUCCCCAAGUAGAGGUGAAAUUCGUAGAUAUGGGGAGGAACACCGGUGGCGAAGGCGGCCAUCUGGACGGAUACUGACGCUGAGACGCGAAAGCGUGGGGAGCAAACAGG